GUGACAGGUGGCAUUUAACAUCAUAACAUCAAACAUGGAUGACAAGAAAAAGAAUCCACCUGAAGCACAAUUUAUUUCUUUUCAAGAUUAUUCACCGAUUCAUCGAUCAGGAGGUACAGGUCAAGCACAAUUAGAUAUUGGAACUUCUGGUCAUCAGCCUUAUGUCAAUUUCACAAAUGAUCCUACUGGAAAUCAAAUGGUUAGAGAUCUUGAAGGAAUGCCUAGCACAGAAGAACCGAAACAACGUAAUUUUUGGACUGUGGAGUACUACCAAAAGUUUUUCAAUGUUAAUACCCAGGAUGUUGUUGAGAGAAUAAAGCGGUCAAUGAUUCCGCAUUGGACAGAUAAUUACCUCAAAACCCAUAUAGAACCAAACCCAGAUCUUUACGGGCCAUUUUGGAUUUGUGUCACGUUAGUUUUUUCAAUAGCUGUGAGUGGAAAUAUAGCCAACUAUUUCCAAACUGCAAAUUCCGAAAAGUAUCAUUGGAAAUACGAUUUUCAUGUCAUAUCCGGUGCAUCCACAUGUAUUUUCUUAUAUGCUUGGUUGUUGCCUCUUGCACUCUGGGGUGCUCUAAAAUGGACUGCAAAUCAACCAAGUACACAAGGAGAAUUAAUUGAAGAAACUGCACAAAUUCCAGGUCUUUUACAACUGUUAUGCCUCUACGGCUAUUCCUUGUCAAUUUAUGUGCCAGUCGCUUUUCUUUGGACAAUACAGUAUAGCUGGUUACAAUGGGGUUUAGUAAUUGCUGCUACAGUAUUAUCUGGUGGAGUCUUACUUCUAUCACUUCUUCCAGUUGUGUCUGGAAAACAUAAAUAUAUUUACGUCUCUAUAAUCUUGGGCUUGCACCUUCUAUUAGCGGCUGGCUUUAUGCUCUAUUUCUUUCACGUACCAACGAAAAAUGUAACAGAAGAUAUUGCGACGGCAGCCCCAAAAGUUUUGACACAAGUCACAAAAAUGAUUGCCACGCCAACCAACACCACACAUUGAAUAUUUAUAUAAAAAUUCUUAAAGUUGACUAGCCUAAAUAUUAAGAAUUAUGCAAAAACUUAAUUAAGAUUAUUCUAUAUGAAAAGUGUGAUUCUUUGCUUAGUUUACAAUUUUCAGUCCAAUAUAAAAUUAAAAAAUUAAUUGCAUAAACUGGAAUAUAUCUAUAAGGAGGUUCUUAUUUUGUGAAAGUUGGAAUUUUUUAGGUCGCCUGCUGAAAUUCAUUUUAGAAUGUGAAGAAAUGAGCUGUGCACAAGAACAGUCCAUUUGCUAAAUAUUGACCCGUGCCAUAGAUGGAUUAAAGUUUAAAUGGAAUUUAAGUUUAUUGACAUUUUUUGACAGUUGUCAAAUGACAAAAUGUAUUAAAUUCCUAUAUGGGUGAUUCUCCUGAAAGUGGGCAAUUUCAUGUCUUUGACUUAUAUCUUCUAAAUAACUUAACAUUUAAAUAUUAACAUUGGACAAACAUAUUAUUUAAACAUCACUUAUUAUACCCUUUAUAAAAAACGAUAAUUUUUUAACACAAAUUUAGUGGAAAACAACAUUUAACAGCUGGAAAACAGCAAUUCAAUAUGUCUUAACCUCUGAGUACCAAACUUUAAAGUACUAUUACUUAUAAAAAAAGAACUAUCUUUAAUUAUUCAAUAAAUAUUAUGAAAGAUUAA